GAUGAAGAACGUAGCGAAAUGCGAUAAGUAAUGUGAAUUGCAGAAUUCCGUGAAUCAUCGAAUCUUUGAACGCACAUUGCGCCCUCUGGUAUUCCGGGGGGCAUGCCUGUCCGAGCGUCAUUUGCAACCCUCAAGCCCGGCUUGUGUGAUGGGUGCCGUCCCCUACGGGACGCGCCCCGAAGGCAAUGGCGGCGUCGCGGUUAUCCGAUCAGCCAAAGUGUAUGGGGCUUUGUCACUCACUUUACGGCCCGGACCGGCGCCAGUCCGAAUCAAUCUUUUUUCUAAAGUUGACCUCGGAUCAGGCAGGGAUACCCGCUGAACUUAAGCAUAUCAAUAAGCGGAGGA
rnacentral:misc_RNA from 1 species